rnacentral:lncRNA from 1 species
CGAGGAGGUGAAUAUCUUUUCAAUGAAUUUUUGACAUAUCUAGGAGAGAAUGAGAUUCUCUCCUAGAUAUGAUAAGAGCUAGCAGAGUCCAAUCACCAUCAAUCUAUCUCCUCUCUGUGUCUAGCCGACAACAUCAGAAGAUCAUCUGAUACAUCACUCUCAGCCACCGCACUAGAUGACUCUAGUCUGAAACCUUCUCCCUUUUCUUUCUUCUUUUAUGGAUAAUCUCUCUUCAUGUACCCU